rnacentral:lncRNA from 1 species
GUCAGUUUCUUCUCUUGACAGGCGGAAGUUUGCGGAGGCGGCAAACAAAAGACGAGCAGCAAGCCACAGGUGAUACAUCAGACAUAAACUCACCUCCGUGCCAACGCCCCCUGCUGUUCGUCCCGACAAAGCUUGGCAGCUGUGUUCCAGCUCAUCAAAUACAGUCGUCUGUUUCUCUGGCCGUGCUGAUGGAGGAAAGUCUUUGGCAUCUCAUUAUUAAUUGAAUUAAGGGAGGUAUUUCUGGAGCAAGGCAACAACAGAUAGAGUAUGAACGUGCCGAGACAGAAACGGAUAAGGAAGAGGUGACGCUCAGAAACAAGAAGGUAAACAGGUGUAAAAGAUGUUCAAAGUUUCUCUCAUGUUGCUUAAAACGUGUUUACAUGUUUGUGUAUUCCAGCAAUCAUCAACCUC